rnacentral:rRNA from 1 species
GGAGGCAGCAGUAGGGAAUUUUGCGCAAUGGGGGAAACCCUGACGCAGCAACACCGCGUGAAUGUUAAGCCCUUCGGGGUGUAAAGUUCUGUCAGUAGGGAAGAACAAAUGACUGUACCUACAAAGGAAGCACCGGCUAACUCCGUGCCAGCAGCCGCGGUAAUACGGGGGGUGCAAGCGUUGUCCGGAAUCAUUGGGCGUAAAGCGUUCGUAGGCGGCAGUUCAAGUCUGAUGUUAAAUCCCGGGGCUCAACUCCGGUCGAGCAUUGGAUACUGGGCAGCUAGAAUGUGGUAGAGGUUAAGGGAAUUCCUGGUGUAGCGGUGAAAUGCGUAGAUAUCAGGAGGAACACCGGUGGCGUAAGCGCUUAACUGGGCCAUAAUUGACGCUGAGGAACGAAAGCCGGGGGAGCAAAUGGGAUUAGAUACCCCAGUAGUCCCGGCCGUAAACGAUGAACACUAGGUGUUGCGGGUAUCGACCCCUGCAGUGCCGCAGCUAACGCGAUAAGUGUUCCGCCUGGGGAGUACGCACGCAAGUGUGAAACUUAAAGGAAUUGACGGGGACCCGCACAAGCGGUGGAACAUGUGGUUUAAUUCGAAGCAACGCGAAGAACCUUACCAGGACUUGACAUCCCGAAAAAAGGCUUGUAAUGAGCUAAUGCCCCUUCGGGGGAAUUCGGAGACAGGUGGUGCAUGGUUGUCGUCAGCUCGUGUCGUGAGAUGUUGGGUUAAGUCCCGCAACGAGCGCAACCCUUACGGUUAGUUGCCCUCUGGGCUCUCUGGCCGGACUGCCG